UACGUAGGAUGCAAGCGUUGUCCGGAUUUACUGGGUGUAAAGGGUGCGCAGGCGGGCUGAUAAGUCAGAGGUGAAAUCCUGGAGCUUAACUCCAGAACUGCCUUUGAUACUGUCAGUCUUGAGUACGAGAGAGGCAGAUGGAAUAUGUGGUGUAGCAGUGAAAUGCGUAGAUAUCACAUAGAACACCAGUGGCGAAGGCGGUCUGCUGGCUCGUAACUGACGCUCAGGCACGAAAGUGUGGGUAGCAAACAGG
rnacentral:rRNA from 1 species